rnacentral:rRNA from 1 species
GCCUUAUGAGACCGGCAAACGGCUCCGGAACACGUACACAACCUUCCUUUAAGCGGGGAAUAGCCCAGAGAAAUUUGGAUUAAUACCCCAUAGUAUAUUGAAAUCGCAUGGUUUUAAUAUUAAAGAUUUUAUCACUUUAAGAUGGGUGUGCGGCUGAUUAGGUAGUUGGCGGGGUAACGGCCCACCAAGCCCACGAUCAGUAACUGGUGUGAGAGCACGACCAGUCACACGGGCACUGAGACACGGGCCCGACUCCUACGGGAGGCAGCAGUAAGGAAUAUUGGUCAAUGGACGAAAGUCUGAACCAGCCAUGCCGCGUGAAGGAUGAAGGUCCUCUGGAUUGUAAACUUCUUUUAUAGGGGACGAAAAAAGGCUUUUCUAAGUCGUCUGACGGUACCCUAGGAAUAAGCACCGGCUAACUCCGUGCCAGCAGCCGCGGUAAUACGGAGGGUGCAAGCGUUAUCCGGAUUCACUGGGUUUAAAGGGUGCGUAGGUGGGUUGGUAAGUCAGUGGUGAAAUCUCCGAGCUUAACUUGGAAACUGCCAUUGAUACUAUCAGUCUUGAAUAUUGUGGAGGUUAGCGGAAUAUGUCAUGUAGCGGUGAAAUGCUUAGAUAUGACA